rnacentral:rRNA from 1 species
UACGUAGGUGGCAAGCGUUGUCCGGAUUUACUGGGCGUAAAGGGCGUGCAGGCGGUCUGUUAAGUGCAGGGUGAAAGCUCCCGGCUCAACUGGGAGAGGUCCUUGCAUACUGGCGGACUUGAGGGGGGGUAGAGGAAAGUGGAAUUCCCGGUGUAGUGGUGAUAUGCGUAGAUAUCAGGAGGAACACCGUGGCGAAGGCGGCCCACUGGGCCAGCACUGACGCUGAGGCGCGAAAGCUCGGGGAGCGAACGGG